rnacentral:rRNA from 1 species
AUUGAACGCUGGCGGCAGGCCUAACACAUGCAAGUCGAGCGGCAGCGGGAAAGUAGCUUGCUACUUUUGCCGGCGAGCGGCGGACGGGUGAGUAAUGCCUGGGAAAUUGCUCAGUCGAGGGGGAUAGCAGUUGGAAACGACUGCUAAUACCGCAUACGCCCUACGGGGGAAAGCAGGGGACCUUCGGGCCUUGCGCGAGUGGAUAUGCCCAGGUGUGGAUUAGCUAGUUGGUGAGGUAAUGGCUCACCAAGGCGACGAUACCGAGCUGGCUUGGGAGGAUGAUCAGCCAAACUGGAGCUGAGACACGGGCCAGACUACUACGGGAGGCAGCAGUGGGGAAUAUUGCACAAUGGGGGAAACCCUGAUGGAGCCAUGCCGCGUGUGUGAAGAAGGCCUUCGGGUUGUAAAGCACUUUCAGCGAGGAGGAAAGGUUGAUGCCUAAUACGUAUCAACUGUGACGUUACUCGCAGAAGAAGCACCGGCUAACUCCGUGCCAGCCGCCGCGGUAA